rnacentral:rRNA from 1 species
UACGUAGGGUGCGAGCGUUGUCCGGAAUUAUUGGGCGUAAAGAGCUCGUAGGCGGUCUGUCGCGUCGAUCGUGAAAACUUGGGGGCUUAACCCUGAGCUUGCGGUCGAUACGGGCAUGACUGGAGUUCGGCAGGGGAGACUGGAAUUCCGUGGUGUAGCGGUGAAAUGCGCAGAUAUCAGGAGGAACACCGGUGGCGAAGGCGGGUCUCUGGGCCGAUACUGACGCUGAGGAGCGAAAGCGUGGGGAGCGAACAGG